ACCUGGGUGGCUCAGUGGUUGAGCAUCUGCCUUUAGCUCAGGGUGUGAUCCUGGAGUCCUGGGAUCGAGUCCCACAUCAGGUU
rfam:Canis lupus familiaris chromosome 2, whole genome shotgun sequence.